UACGAAGGGGGCUAGCGUUGCUCGGAAUUACUGGGCGUAAAGCGCACGUAGGUGGCUUUUUAAGUCGGGGGUGAAAUCCUGGAGCUCAACUCCAGAACUGCCCUCGAUACUGGGAAGCUUGAGUUCGGGAGAGGUGAGUGGAACUGCGAGUGUAGAGGUGAAAUUCGUAGAUAUUCGCAAGAACACCAGUGGCGAAGGCGGCUCACUGGCCCGAUACUGACGCUGAGGCGCGAAAGCGUGGGGAGCGAACAGG
rnacentral:rRNA from 1 species